rnacentral:rRNA from 1 species
UGGGCGAAAGCCUGAUCCAGCAACGCCGCGUGAGGGAUGACUGCCUUCGGGUUGUAAACCUCUUUCAGCAGGGACGAAGCGCAAGUGACGGUACCUGCAGAAGAAGCACCGGCCAACUACGUG